CUACGGGUCGCAGCAGUGGGGAAUAUUGGGCAAUGGGCGCAAGCCUGACCCAGCAACGCCGCGUGAGGGAAGAAGGUUUUCGGAUUGUAAACCUCUGUCCUUGGGGACGAAGAAGUGACGGUACCCAAGGAGGAAGCUCCGGCUAACUACGUGCCAGCAGCCGCGGUAAUACGUAGGGAGCAAGCGUUGUCCGGAAUUACUGGGCGUAAAGGGUGCGUAGGCGGCAUAUUAAGUCAGGUGUGAAAUACUCGGGCUCAACCCGGGGGCUGCAUUUGAAACUGAUAUGCUCGAGUGUGAGAGAGGAAAGUGGAAUUCCUAGUGUAGCGGUGGAAUGCGUAGAUAUUAGGAGGAACACCAGUGGCGAAGGCGACUUUCUGGCUCAUAACUGACGCUGAGGCACGAAAGCGUGGGGAGCAAACAGGAUUAGAUACCCUUGUAGUC
rnacentral:rRNA from 1 species